CGGAGUGGAAGGGACACGCAGGGACUAUGGCGAACACUCCCUGCAGCAUGUCUCCACGCACACAGGCCCCUGCGGGUCACACUCUCAUGCCCACCACCAACCAAGCACUGUGCCAACACUGCAGAGCUGAGCGGGCACGCUGGGGCUAGAGCACAGCAGGAAGCUGUGACUUCAGAGGUACAAGAAGCUGUGUUCACAAACACCACACUCAAGCUGCAUUUACACACAUUCGUACAUUACUUGGUGGAGAUCUGAAAUCAAAACAACAACAAAAAAAAAGGCUGCCCAUGUAUUCCAGACACUGGGUGAUUACAUGUUAAGGCAACAGAAGUGACCCCUGCUCCCCGCCUCACUGCUCCGUCGGCUUGUCUGCCUAGGAUUAUAAAGUGUAUUUCUGUACAUCACUACACUCCAAGUUCUGCGUGGCCCUCCCGUGGAACUCUCCUGAGACAAGCCCACUAACCACUAAGAGUGCACACCAGUUAUUUUAUUCCACACCGAGGGGUCAGGCUGUAGGGGGGUGGGAAGGAGAUAAAAGUAAGUCAGGGAGAAAGGUCACAUGGCCACAUGAGGCACUUUCAGCAAGUAGAUAGGAGUUGGUGGGGAGUCCAGACCACUGAGGACUGGUCACCAUGCGCCUAGGCAGGCGGCCAAAGGGGCAGGGCGGAAGCCUGAAGCCUCAGCCCCAGAAGGCCUGCUAUUAGCGCCAUCACCAACAUGCAACGUGCCCCAGGCGCUCAGGGGUGCCACAGGCCCCGAGGCCCGAGGUAAGGGCGGGCCCCACUGAGAAGGCCACGCAGUACUCCCAGACAGUGUUUCUCAUGGACGCAGGAAUGGCUUGAUGCCUACCCCAGAGGGCGGUUCUGCCACCGCCAGGACAUAAGCAUGACCCUCCAACUCCACAUGUGGUGACCUCAGAGCUUACUCUUAGACUACCAGGCAGCAGAAAUGCUGUGAGAGCCUUCAACAACAUAAACAGGCUGUUUUAAGAAUCCAAGAGGAAUUUCUCAUCAUCAUGUAAACAUACACCAUAGCUGGACUGUGGUUCCCUGGCUCUGGGACUUCAGAGACUGGCAAACUUAAGAAGAAACUCUGGGGCUUGACAAAGAGCAGCCAGUAUUUUAUCUUCAUCUUACAGCCAAGAGCAUUAAAAAAAAAAAAAAAAAAAUUAUGUGUGUGUAUAUAUAUAUAUUAUCACCUUUGUUACAUAAAAGUACAUUUUAUCACCCAAGUUAGGAAGGACAUUAUCUCAAAAUAAAAUACAAACCUCUAGGUUGAAUAAACUUGACCUCAUAAGUUAUUUAACAUGUGCCCUUGUACUUACUGACAUGCACAGAGCCCUCUGUGCCAAAGGCCUAUGCUAUGGGCCCCCAUGAGCAUCGCUGCCUGGUGGGGGGGGGGGGGGGGGCACAAGGUCAAGCCCGAUCCCCAAGGUCACAGGCCCUUCCAGCACCUCCAUCCCCUCAAAUGCAUAUCCACUGAGAAAGGGACAGGAGUCACGAGGGCAGUUUACAGUCACAGGGAAUGCUCAGUACAAAGUGCUCUCACACACGUUCUCCCGUGUGUCCUCCCAAAAGUCCUGUGGGCAUGUACAGGUGUGAGAGUGCAGCCUCCACACUGCCUGGGGCCUGCCUGGGCCGUGCAGCAGCAUGCAGACAACCAUGGGCAAAGCAUUUCCCUCUAAGGUUGAUUUUCCUUUGCUCACACCUAUGCUUGCUGCAUGUUCCUCUCCUCCUACUUCUACAUGAACCCUUUAUUCAAAAAAAUCAAUGCAAGAAAGAAGGUAAAAAGAAAAAAGGAUGGCACUUAAGCCUGAGAACAGAAAUAUAGUCAACAUUAGAAAACUGCUAAUUGUCCUCUUUUUAAAAUCACCUAAUGGGUGCAUGUGGAAACUUCCCAAAUGUCAAAACAGAACAUCAAAAACCAAGCAUCAAAAAACAAAAAAACAAAAAACAAAAAAAAACAAGCAUCACUGCCUUCAACCCUUUUCUAGAACAAGGCAGGACAUAAAUAAAUAAAUACAUAAAUAACAUAAGUAAUAGGAAAAGGCACAGCUAUGUGUGACAUUGAUGGCUUUGGGAAAUACACUCAAAAUCCACACCCAAGAUGCCAGAGCAGAAUUCUCAGAGGUAUCCCUGCCCACCUGUCCACAGCAGCCAAGGCCUACAGCAGGACUCUGUUUGAGGGGAGAGACGGGACACUCCUGGGACCAGGCUGAGGGGGACACUCUGGCUCGUUCCCACGGGUCUGUCGUGCCCCUCAUUGCGGGGCUCUGGGGCCUGCCAGGCAGCAGCCUCAUCACACCACCACCACCACGUUUCCUUGCUACGUGGGACCUGGGUGCCCCACACCUCAGAAACAUGAUUACCCUAUCCUUGCCAACAGAAAGAAAGGGAGCUUUAGGAAAGUUACUCACAACAAGUAGGAAUGGCCUUAAGCAACGAUGUACACUGUUUCCAGAUUCAUGUUUGGCGGCUAUGAAGUUUCAGACUAGAGGGUGAGCCUCAAAGCUGUCCAGAUUCCGAAAGAAUCAGCAGAGUCUGGUUGAACAAAGCAGCAGACCUGUCCUCUGCAAAGGAAGAGCGGAUGCCCUGGUGUCCUGCUGCUGGCCUAGAGCAGAGCACACUCCAGGGGCAGAGCAGGAGAGGCCCCACCUCCUGACCCUGCACUCCUGACUCACACCACCUCCCGGGCCAGGUCUGGGGGAGACAGCAGUGAGGGUCAGCUCAGUCCAUUCCUUUAAGAGACCCUGGAAAAAUCGUUCAAGACCCCAGAAAUCAGCCCCGCGCUUACUUCCCUGGGCUACGGACCCUAAGACCACGCUGCUGGGCCCUUGCCUCGGCGCAGCCGGGUGGUCGUGCCUACAGGUACGAGGCUUCUGCCCUGGCAGCAUCCCCAAGCACUGCUUUCCAGAAGGUCCAGGACAGAGCCACUGUCUACCCCGGGCAGUGCUGGAGAGGCCCGGUCCAUAACGGGCCUCUGCAGAAAGCACCCAGGGGGGCAGACGCAGAGUGUGCCUGGGGAGAACCUGAGCCAAGAGGGCAGAGGAAAGGGGACCCAGAGUUGGAAGAGCUGAAAGUAAGGUGAACUACCACCCACACUCUCUCAGCCCUACCAAGAAGAUGACCAGCCACUGCUUUCACACCACUGGUGACAGGAGUUCCCUGCCAGUGGCUCAGUCCACCCAUGGGUGGCUCGAACUUCUCCAUGUGGAGACAGAGCCCCACCUCCCCAAAGCUCCCGCCACAGCCUCACUGCGGUCCUGGGCCCACCCCGAGUGCCACAAGGAACACCCCUGAUCCCUUCUCAGCCACGGCACCUGGCUCUGGCUCUAACGGCCCUCACCAGCUACCCACAACCCGCAGCUCACAAUGUCACUCUGACAGGCCCCAAGCUCUGCAUAAGCCCAGCCAACCAGGGCCCCCAGGCCUUUGGCAGCAGCGCACACGCCGAAUCGCAGGCUCCGACAGCCAUCCCACAGUUACACUAUGGCCACAGCUUGUGAUAGGGUCACUGUAGCCACGUGGAGCCUCCAGUGAUUGUCUUCCCCCCGAAUCAUAAGGGACUCUUCUCCCCUCUGUCCCCACGCAUACACUUACAGGUCACAGCCCAGCUUUCUGGCAGAGCCGUCCAUGACACAAGGAGGGGUUUAGAAUUCUAUCCUCGAGCCAACUAAGACAAUGACAGGCACUGCGUGUCUCCUCGGCUAAAAUAUACAGUGCUGUCAGUCAUGAAGUAAACCUGCAUCAUUAAUUCAAUGAUUACAAAUUAGAUCUCUCUUACUAUAGAAAACCUAAACUCAGAUUUGGAAUUUACCCAUUUCUAAACACUUCUGAAGGUGAGAAUCACCACGAUUCCACACAAUGGUCAUCAGAGGCUUCAAACUACCAGAUGUGGUUUCCCAAGAAACGGCGUCACCUGGAGAGCUCUGAGGAGGCAGCCAAUGGCCCACCUCUACAGACACAGCCAGUCCCGAGCUGCACAGCCGGGAUGUGAGUGACCCCUGCCCACAGCCAAACACCUGGGGAUGAUCACUUAGCUCAUCUCACCUACCAGCAGCCCCAAGGAGGCAAGGGAAGACCCCUGACCUCACUGCCCCGUCCUUAGGUUCAAGGAGCAACUACAAAGACAUCAGGUCCAAAGAGGCAAAGAGCAAUCAACCAAAUGCCAGAUGUGUUGUCCACUGGACACUAAGCAACUGGAAGCUUGGAACCAUCCAGAGGGCAAGUGAAUCCCCCCGUCCUGGAGUGUGCAAGGACUAGAAGGCAGCGCCACAGGUGUUUCCUCCGGUUAGAACUGGCAGUGAAUGCUGUUUGGAGCAGUCCUUGGUCCA
rnacentral:lncRNA from 1 species